rnacentral:pre_miRNA from 1 species
UUUCAAGGAUGAGCAGAGAAAGUGGUUUCUUGAAAUGGAAUCUACUCCUGCUGAAGAUGCUGUGAA